GAUGAACGCUGGCGGCGUGCCUAAUACAUGCAAGUCGAACGCAUUGUGGUUGAAAUGAUAUGAAGAACUUGUUCAGAUUUGAUUUUCAACAUUGCAAUGAGUGGCGAACGGGUGAGUAACACGUGGGAAACCUACCUCUUAGCAGGGGAUAACAUUUGGAAACAAAUGCUAAUACCGUAUAAUAAUUAAAACCGCAUGGUUUUAGUUUAAAAGAUGGUCUUGCUAUCACUAAGAGAUGGUCCCGCGGUGUAUUAGUUAGUUGGUGAGGUAAUGGCUCACCAAGACAAUGAUACAUAGCCGAGUUGAGAGACUGACCGGCCACAAUGGGACUGAGACACGGCCCAUACUCCUACGGGAGCAGCAGUAGGGAAUCUUCCACAAUGGACGAAAGUCUGAUGGAGCAACGCCGCGUGUGUGAUGAAGGGUUUCGGCUCGUAAAACACUGUUGUAAGAGAAGAAUGACAUUGAGAGUAACUGUUCAAUGUGUGACGGUA
rnacentral:rRNA from 1 species